rnacentral:misc_RNA from 1 species
CGUAAGUUCGGCUCGUCUCGAAUGCAUUAGCUGACGAUUUCGACUUCAGUUAAACCGUGUGAUAAUACAUCUACGCGGGCAGCCGUAAGGCGCUGGGUCGUCACCUCCAAGGCUUCCAACCGUCCUCUCGAGGACUGUCCUUCUGGGCAUUUCAUUUCACAUCUGGCCUCGAAUCAGGUAGGAUUACCCGCUGAACUUAA